UACGGAGGAUGCAAGCGUUGUCCGGAUUUAUUGGGCGUAAAGAGCUCGUAGGCGGUUCGAUAAGUCGGACGUGAAAUCUCCACGCUCAACGUGGAGGGGCCGUUCGAUACUGUCGUGACUCGAGUCCGGUAGGGGAGUGUGGAAUUCCCGGUGUAGCGGUGAAAUGCGCAGAGAUCGGGAGGAACACCCGUAGCGAAGGCGGCACUCUGGGCCGGUACUGACGCUGAGGAGCGAAAGCGUGGGGAGCAAACAGG
rnacentral:rRNA from 1 species